rnacentral:rRNA from 1 species
UACGGAGGGGGCGAGCGUUAUUCGGAAUUAUUGGGCGUAAAGGGCGCGUAGGCGGCUGUACAAGUCAAAGGUGAAAUCCCUCGGCUCAACUGAGGAACUGCCUUUGAAACUGUACGGCUUGAGGCCGGGAGGGGGUAGCGGAAUUCCCAGUGUAGCGGUGAAAUGCGUAGAUACUGGGAGGAACACCAGUGGCGAAGGCGGCUACCUGGACCGGUUCUGACGCUGAGGCGCGUAAGCGUGGGUAGCAAGCAGG